rnacentral:rRNA from 1 species
AAGGACGCUGGCGGCGUGCUAACACAUGCAAGUCGAACGCGAAAGUUUCUUCGGAAAUGAGUAGAGUGGCGCACGGGUGAGUAACGCGUGGAUUAUCUACCUAUUGGUACGGGACAACAGUUGGAAACGACUGCUAAUACCGUAUAAGCUGGUAACGGGAAAGGGGGCCUCUUCUUGAAAGCUCUCGCCAGUAGAUGAGUCCGCGUUUCAUUAGCUAGACGGUGGGGUAACGGCCUACCGUGGCAACGAUGAAUAGCAGGCCUGAGAGGGUGGCCUGCCACACUGGGACUGGAACACGGCCCAGACUCCUACGGGAGGCAGCAGUGGGGAAUAUUGCGCAAUGGACGAAAGUCUGACGCAGCGACGCCGCGUGGAGGAUGAAGGUUUUCGGAUCGUAAACUCCUGUCAAGAGGGAAGAAACCUGUUGAGAAUAAUACUUUCAGCAAUUGACGGUACCUCUAGAGGAAGCACCGGCUAAUUCAGUGCCAGCAGCCGCGGUAAUACUGAAGGUGCAAGCGUUAAUCGGAAUCACUGGGCGUAAAGCGCUCGUAGGUGGCUUUGUAAGUCAGGUGUGAAAGCCCACGGCUCAACCGUGGAAUUGCACUUGAUACUGCAUCGCUAGAGUAUAGGAGAGGGAAGUGGAAUUUCUGGUGUAGGAGUGAAAUCCGUAGAGAUCAGAAGGAACGCCCGUGGCGAAGGCGACUUCCUGGACUAUUACUGACACUGAGGAGCGAAAGCGUGGGGAGCAAACAGGAUUAGAUACCCUGGUAGUCCACGCCGUAAACGAUGGGUACUAGGUGUCGGGGGCUUGACCUUCGGUGCCGUAGUUAACGCGUUAAGUACCCCGCCUGGGGAGUACGGUCGCAAGGCUGAACUCAAUGAAUUGACGGAAGGGC